GGCCGGGUGUGUAAGCGCAGCGAUGCGUUGAGCUAACCGGUACUAAUGAACCGUGAGGCUUAACCUUACAACGCCGAAGAUGUUUUG
rnacentral:rRNA from 1 species